AUUUUAUCACAAAGGCAAGGUAUAACUCAUCUCUUCCUUUCUCUUAAGCAAAUGACCUGAAUACCAUGAGGUAUCCACCCACACCUAAAAUUUAUCAUCCUAGUCAUCCCUGUUUUCUAUCAAGUUUUAUUCUUUGAUAAAAUCCCAUGAGCUUUCCCUUCAAAAUGGGUAGGAACAAACCUCAGAAUAUUCCAUCUUUAUGACACCACUGAAAAUGUUGAAUUCAGUUUUAGUGCUUUUGUUCAUUUAGAGAUCUGUCUGGGAUUCUCUUUGGAUCCUGCAAUGAUGGACUUGGUGUUGAAGCUGUAUUGAUCGGUUACUGAAGAAUUUUCCUCUGUUUCACAUCAUCUUCCCACUAAUGGUUCCCAGUUCAUAUUUUCUGGAAGAACCAGUAUGCAAGCAUGCUCUUUCCAAAUGGGGCUUUGGUAGCAGAUGGCAGGUCAAAUCCCUCAGGAAGUGAAGAUCAAGAAGAAAUGGUUGGAAAUUUUCCAGUUAACUCUGAGUAAUCAUGAGAGGUGUACAGACACAAGAUUAUUCCAUUUCCUUCUGUGCUGUUCAAGGAGAGACGGUAUGAGCCCAGCUUCCGGAUGUUGAAUCAUAUGACUUGAACCAGAGGUCAGGUAAAGUGGUGGUCAACUUCAGGUUCCAACCUGCAAAACAGCCCACCUCUGGAAGCCUAGUCAUUCAGGGAGGUGAGCGUGCCAGACACCACAAACCCAGACUUGCUGGUAGAGGCCCCUCAAGCCAAACAGCAGCACAGCCAGUAAAGGGUGGUGGGAGGUAGAAAGCAAGCUCGAGGCUGGCAAGGGGGCGGAGUGAGUCACUUCUUUGAUGUGGAGUGGUUAUUACAAACACAGCAAAGGUGAGCAAGCAUUUCCUUCCCCUGACUACUGUGACUACUGGUGUAGGAAACUGAGUCAUGGGCUAGGACAGCUUUAGAGUUGCAGGAGAGGAAAAUUCUUAUUUAUAGUCUAACAUCAAUUUUACUAAGAUGCAUUUUGUCAAUCUGGUAAAUCUGCAGUCUGCCUUAUGUGGAUAAGCCAGUUUCCUACUUAUUUGCAAAAUAUUUUCUCACUGUUCUUUUCUUAGUAAAGAUGCUCUUUGAGAGUUGUAUACACUCAACCUGAUCCUUUAUA
rnacentral:lncRNA from 1 species